GUCCACGCCGUAAACGAUGGAUACUAGCUGUUGGGAGCAAUCUCAGUGGCUAAGCGAAAGUGAUAAGUAUCCCACCUGGGGAGUACGUUCGCAAGAAUGAAACUCAAAGGAAUUGGACGGGGGCCCGCACAAGCGGUGGAGCAUGUGGUUUAAUUCGAUGAUACGCGAGGAACCUUACCAAGGCUUAAAAUGUAGAUUGACAGGACUGGAAACAGUUUUUUCUUCGGACAAUUUACAACGUGCUGCAUGGUUGUCGU
rnacentral:rRNA from 1 species